GCGCCUAUAGCUCAGGUGGAUAGAGCAGCAGCCUUCUAAGCUGCAGGUCGCUGGUUCGAGUCCAGCUAGGCGCACCA
rnacentral:tRNA from 1 species